UACGUAGGGUCCGAGCGUUGUCCGGAAUUACUGGGCGUAAAGAGCUCGUAGGCGGCCUGUCGCGUCGGAUGUGAAAGCCCGGGGCUUAACCCCGGGUCUGCAUUCGAUACGGGCAGGCUAGAGUGUGGUAGGGGAGAUCGGAAUUCCUGGUGUAGCGGUGAAAUGCGCAGAUAUCAGGAGGAACACCGGUGGCGAAGGCGGAUCUCUGGGCCAUUACUGACGCUGAGGAGCGAAAGCGUGGGGAGCGAACAGG
rnacentral:rRNA from 1 species